rnacentral:rRNA from 1 species
CGCUGGCGGCAUGCCUAACACAUGCAAGUCGAACGAGACCUUCGGGUCUAGUGGCGCACGGGUGCGUAACGCGUGGGAAUCUGCCCUUGGGUUCGGAAUAACUUCGGGAAACUGAAGCUAAUACCGGAUGAUGACGUAAGUCCAAAGAUUUAUCGCCCAAGGAUGAGCCCGCGUAGGAUUAGCUAGUUGGUGAGGUAAAGGCUCACCAAGGCGACGAUCCUUAGCUGGUCUGAGAGGAUGAUCAGCCACACUGGGACUGAGACACGGCCCAGACUCCUACGGGAGGCAGCAGUGGGAAUAUUGGACAAUGGGCGAAAGCCUGAUCCAGCAAUGCCGCGUGAGUGAUGAAGGCCUUAGGGUUGUAAAGCUCUUUUACCCGGGAUGAUAAUGACAGUACCGGGAGAAUAAGCUCCGGCUAACUCCGUG